rnacentral:rRNA from 1 species
AGAGUUUGAUCAUGGCUCAGAUUGAACGCUGGCGGCAGGCCUAACACAUGCAAGUCGAGCGGUAGCACAGAGAGCUUGCUCUCGGGUGACGAGCGGCGGACGGGUGAGUAAUGUCUGGGAAACUGCCUGAUGGAGGGGGAUAACUACUGGAAACGGUAGCUAAUACCGCAUAACGUCGCAAGACCAAAGUGGGGGACCUUCGGGCCUCAUGCCAUCAGAUGUGCCCAGAUGGGAUUAGCUAGUAGGUGGGGUAACGGCUCACCUAGGCGACGAUCCCUAGCUGGUCUGAGAGGAUGACCAGCCACACUGGAACUGAGACACGGUCCAGACUCCUACGGGAGGCAGCAGUGGGGAAUAUUGCACAAUGGGCGCAAGCCUGAUGCAGCCAUGCCGCGUGUGUGAAGAAGGCCUUCGGGUUGUAAAGCACUUUCAGCGGGGAGGAAGGCGUUAAGGUUAAUAACCUCGAUCGAUUGACGUUACCCGCAGAAGAAGCACCGGCUAACUCCGUGCCAGCAGCCGCGGUAAUACGGAGGGUGCAAGCGUUAAUCGGAAUUACUGGGCGUAAAGCGCACGCAGGCGGUCUGUCAAGUCGGAUGUGAAAUCCCCGGGCUCAACCUGGGAACUGCAUUCGAAACUGGCAGGCUAGAGUCUUGUAGAGGGGGGUAGAAUUCCAGGUGUAGCGGUGAAAUGCGUAGAGAUCUGGAGGAAUACCGGUGGCGAAGGCGGCCCCCUGGACAAAGACUGACGCUCAGGUGCGAAAGCGUGGGGAGCAAACAGGAUUAGAUACCCUGGUAGUCCACGCCGUAAACGAUGUCGAUUUGGAGGUUGUGCCCUUGAGGCGUGGCUUCCGGAGCUAACGCGUUAAAUCGACCGCCUGGGGAGUACGGCCGCAAGGUUAAAACUCAAAUGAAUUGACGGGGGCCCGCACAAGCGGUGGAGCAUGUGGUUUAAUUCGAUGCAACGCGAAGAACCUUACCUGGUCUUGACAUCCACAGAACUUUCCAGAGAUGGAUUGGUGCCUUCGGGAACUGUGAGACAGGUGCUGCAUGGCUGUCGUCAGCUCGUGUUGUGAAAUGUUGGGUUAAGUCCCGCAACGAGCGCAACCCUUAUCCUUUGUUGCCAGCGGUCCGGCCGGGAACUCAAAGGAGACUGCCAGUGAUAAACUGGAGGAAGGUGGGGAUGACGUCAAGUCAUCAUGGCCCUUACGACCAGGGCUACACACGUGCUACAAUGGCAUAUACAAAGAGAAGCGACCUCGCGAGAGCAAGCGGACCUCAUAAAGUAUGUCGUAGUCCGGAUUGGAGUCUGCAACUCGACUCCAUGAAGUCGGAAUCGCUAGUAAUCGUAGAUCAGAAUGCUACGGUGAAUACGUUCCCGGGCCUUGUACACACCGCCCGUCACACCAUGGGAGUGGGUUGCAAAAGAAGUAGGUAGCUUAACCUUCGGGAGGGCGCUUACCACUUUGUGAUUCAUGACUGGGGUGAAGUCGUAACAAGGUAACCGUAGGGGAACCUGCGGUUG